CAAACCUUUGUAUUUUACAAAGUUUUAUGAAAAAAAAAAAAUCAUAAUUUGCCAAUUUUAUGUUUUUGAAAUUUCCUAAACAUUAAUAUUAUGUUGUUCCUGAUUGUUUUUCAACCUAAAUAUAUUAAUUCACUUGUGUCUGUUCCUGUAGCCUAAAAAGGACAUUCUCACUCUCCAAGACAAGUGUAUUCAUAUGAGGGAGAAUCCAAAUGAAAUUCUCUGACCGUUAUUUAUGAAUAUGUUGUUAGAGGAAAAGAAAGUUUUAUCUGCUACACGGUCAACACCACCUGCUAACUGCAGGGUUCUGCUGCAGACGUCAAUAUAUGAUGAUCAUUUUAACAUCCUGGUGAAGAGCAAUUGGUGCUGGGCAAAGUCCAGGAAGUUGGUGUAGGAUCUCAGCCAUAUGGACAAUAGGGCAAUUCUUAAUGUUGUAAUCAGGGAACUGCUCCUGCUCCCUGAAAGCCAGCAAAAAGUAUGAAGUAGAGCAGCUUCUCACAGGCCAUGUGGGGACUCAACCAGGAGAGUACUUAGAACUGAAGUAUUCGUACUUUUGAACAUGACUCAUCUCAACAUUUCUGUUUUAUAUAAACAGCAUAUUGUAUUUUACUUCUACCACAGCAUGUUUUGUAUAAAUCUACAUUUUAAACCACAUAGUUCAUCUUUUCUUUUACCACCAUACACUAAAUAUUUUACUGUUUUUAUGAGAGAAGCCAUAACAUUUAAUUAAGCAUGUUCUUUUUUUUUUUUUUUUUGCUUUUUUUGUUGUUGUUAGUUUUGCCUGCAGUUAGAAGACUUAUGUCCUUUUCCCCCCCAAGAGCUUAUGUGUCUCUUGCAGACACCAGCAGGUCCCCCACAGUCAGAGGAUGGUCAUGGCUCCAUGUGUGUACACAAAACAACCUCCAUGAUCCGAACCAGUCUGGGUUCAAAGCGGCUCAUUCCACAGAGACGGCCCUUUUGGCUGUUUCUGAGAAACUACAUGCUGCUCGGUCAGCCAAGCUGUCAUCUGUACUUAUCUUUCUGGACCUUUCAGCAGCAUUUGAUAGUCAACCGCAAGACACUUUCGUCAACCCUCAAGAGCCUUGGUAUCUGCGGAACAGCAUGGGAAUGGUUUGCUUCCUACCUGGAAGGUCGCUCAUACCAGAUACCACAGCUUCUGCUCGGAUCUCAGCAUGCUUGUCAGACAUAUCUUUAUGGAU